UGGUUUCUUUGUUGUCUGACUCGUAAUCAAAGCAAAGCUUGCAGCAAAGUUGGCAAUCACAUAAUCAAUAUAUUCAAUUAUACAUAUUUAAAGCCUUUUGUUCUUAUGUGCAGGUCUUGAACGGGGCUACUCGAGAAGUGACUUGCUGCCAUACAUCAUACAGACGAAAGGCAGACAUAUUUUCCUGGGACUACUCUGGUUCGUGCAAUCCUUUGUGUCAACUAGCCCUCUCCAUUCACGGUGGGUCGUAAGCUUCGGCAUUCAUUGUCUCCAUCACUCGGGCACCCUUGCAAUCAUCUUGUGCAGGUAUUUGAAUAAUUAUCAUCUUCUCUGUGCUUUUUGUUGGCUGCUGCAGUCUUAACUUGCAUAUUGUGAGCCACUUUGCUUCCGAACAUGAUUUUGUCGACUUCUUUGAUGCAGGUGGAGUAACAUGUUGACUUUGGCGCUGCAUAAAGAUCCCUCCGGAGCAGUUUCUUCACUUUGACGCACCGCGAUACAGGCAUCAGAAACAAGUGCAGUGAACCCCUUUUGAAUUUGAACCUUGCUUCCGCCACCUAUACGCAGGACGCACCGCAAUAUAGGCAUCGAAAGCAAGUGCAGCGAAAUUACACAGAACAGUAAGGGAUUUGAGGCUUUGUGAGCUGUGACCCUGUUGUUGGUAAUCUUUGGCUGAAGUGGU